CACUGUUGGGGAAGGGUCCACGCGUGUCCUUGCUCCGGUGCUCGUGUUUUUCGACAGCAAGCACACACCUCAGCAGAAGCAGCAGCAGCAGCAGCAGUAUUUUGGCUUGCCAUAAGCGGACAGCAGCAGCGGAUAAAAACGCAUUCUCGCACUUAAAGCACUUCCAUUCUUCAUUUUCGAUGUUAAAAAGGGAUACUUGAAGCGAUACAAUUAUCUGGUUGUCAAACAGAAAAGCAAACAAACAAAAAAAACCUUUUAACAACAAGAUACGAAGUGAAGGCGGAAGCCGCGUGUGUGUUCUAAGUUGCGAAAGUUUGCAAUUUGCGUUUUUUUGAAAAGAAGCGAGAAGCGCAGUUUGUGUUCAGUGAGAGUGAGUGAGUAAAGCAAAAGAAUCCCGGAAAAUUGGCAGCAAAUAGUGGUCGGAAGUGAGGGAAGCAAAAUUGUUCGAUUGCAUCGCAAAAAGAAAAGUGAGAGUGAGUGGGUGGGGCAAUUGCGAAGGUGUGCGGAGCGUGAUUGAAAGUAAGCAGCAAGCGAGCGAGAAAAGUGAGAAGCGCUGGGAGGAAGCGAGUUUUUGAAAAAGGUUUUCGCAAAAAGUGUAUGAAGUGGAAAACGAAAGGAAGGAGCCUGCUGGAGAAGGCAAAGAAAAACCGAGAGGGAAAAGGCAGCACAAGCGGAAGAGAAGAGGGAGGGUAGUAAAUCAGCAUUUCUUCGGUAUUUUGUCUUAAUAUUUAGCGCAAGUUGUGGUGUCACCCGCGCAGAAGAAAAGCAAUAGCUGUUCUUCUUCUUCGCUUUAGGUCGGGAUUUGCAUUUUUCUUUUCUUGGAUGUAAAUGUGUGCGUGUGUUUCGUGUGUGUUUCACGUGCGCUUGUGUGUGCGUGCAGAAAGGAAGAUGACAAUGUCAUUCAAGUUUUAAUCAGCAACGAAAAGGCACACGGAAGGAAAACAAGUUGGCACAUUCCACCGACUGUGAACGGGAAGGUCUUUUCGCUUUAUCGAUUUCGGGAUAAGUAUCGCAGAACGAGGUGGCAAAAAAAGUGCAUGAGAAAGUGAGGCUGGUGAAGGCUGCACUGGUUGAGAGGGUAGUGUGGAAAGCUUCCCCCUAUCUCUCUCUCCCAGCCUGCAGCUAGGGAAAAAGGGCGACUCGCCCGUUCGUGUUGCGGGGGUGGUAAGAGCGCCAACAACAACCCUCCAUAGCGCGCUGCUCCAUCAGGCCUCCAUCGGCCGAAAAGUUCCGGAAACAAGGAGGAGAAAAUUAAUCUAAAUUCUCGCAGCGAAGUAAAAGUUUCGUCCCAAAAGCGCUCCGACUCCGGCAACGGGCAACGACGACAGCCAACGGUCAAAGGCAUGGAUUACGAGGCGCUGCUUUUGCUGUUGCUAGCCUAAGAAGGAAGCGGAACAUCAUCUUCCCUUGCGAACAAGAGAGACGGAGGACGUUUAAGUUGCGAACGAUAGCGCAGGCGGCAGCGUGCAAGAGAAAGCGGAUCGAUUCUAUAGUUCCAAGGUGUUAAAAGCAGUGGCCGAUUGUUAGCUUCCUCUCUCUCUCUCUGUACUUGGGAAACGGUGACGGCUGGUGACAUGACGAUGGUGUCGACGUCUGGUGGACAGUAGCGAAAAAAACAUGCAUCAGGAAGAAACGCUUUCGGUACAGUACCAAUCUCAGCGACGACGCGGUGAUCGAGGAAGAGGAGUGAAAGCACGGAAGGAAGGAACAGCAGCAGAAAGAAGAUGUCGUCGCCAGUCGCACUAGCUGGGACGCCGCACCGAUAGCUGUGUGUGAGAAAGAACGAGCCUCCACUAUUUAGCCGAACCCAAUGCA